rnacentral:rRNA from 1 species
UCCUACGGGCGGCUGCAGUGAGGAAUAUUGGUCAAUGGGCGAGAGCCUGAACCAGCCAAGUAGCGUGAAGGAUGAAGGUCCUAUGGAUUGUAAACUUCUUUUAUAGUAGAAUAAAGUGACCUACGUGUAGGUUUUUGUAUGUAUACUAUGAAUAAGGAUCGGCUAACUCCGUGCCAGCAGCCGCGGUAAUACGGAGGAUCCGAGCGUUAUCCGGAUUUAUUGGGUUUAAAGGGUGCGUAGGCGGAAUAGUAAGUCAGUUGUGAAAGUUUGCGGCUCAACCGUAAAAUUGCAGUUGAUACUGUUAUUCUUGAGUGUAUAUAAGGUAGGCGGAAUUCGUGGUGUAGCGGUGAAAUGCUUAGAUAUCACGAAGAACUCCGAUUGCGAAGGCAGCUUACCGGGGUACAACUGACGCUGAGGCACGAAAGUGUGGGUAUCAAACAGGAUUAGAUACCCGUGUAGUC